UGAGGAAUCUUCCGCAAUGGGCGAAAGCCUGACGGAGCGACGCCGCGUGUGGGAUGAAGUCUUUCGGGAUGUAAACCACUGUCGGAGGGGAAGACAUCGACGGUACCCUCCAAGAAAGCCCCGGCUAACUACGUG
rnacentral:rRNA from 1 species